ensembl:lncRNA
UUGGAGCCUGGCCUCUUGUCCCGAGGCCGGCCAUCCCCAGGAGAGGGUCCUCGCCCGCUGUCGGGCCAGGCACACGGAAAGAGAAGAGCAUUUCCCGGGCUUAGAGAAGCGAGCCGGUGCCGAGAAAACGGGGACGCAGGCAGCGCGCUGACUUCCAGUCCCCCGGACGGCGUCACUGCGGCGCUUGGAGAGCAAGUGGUAAAGGGCACGUCUCUCCGCUUAACUUCCCGCCGAGGGCCCGGGCUGCUAAAUGAGGGAUGUAAAAAGUGAGCCAGGUCCCUGCCCCAAUAGCUGUGCAGUCUCCCCGGUAGGAAGCAAGGCUUUCAUCUGUUUAACAUUCAAGACAUUUACAGGAAGUAAAUGUGUGAGAGCCACUGGGCUAGGUUGGGACGGGACCCUGCUCUCCGCCCGAUUAGGGAGACAAGGGAUGCAUGAAACACUUCUGAGAGCCGGGGCUCAGAAGUUACAAAGUAGGAAACGGCCCCUUGGACGCAGAAGUCGGGAGAGGAGAGGAAACCACCACAAAGAGCCAUGAUGCAAUGCUGGAUGCCGCGAGAGAGAGAGAGAGAGAGACCACUUUCUGAAAGAAUUCGGGAAAAGAGCUCGCUGCUUUUGUAAAGGAGAGGCCAUUUGGCUGGGACUCGAAAGAUGGGAAGCAUUUGAAUGGGGGGAAAGGGGAGAAAGGCAUAUGCAUAGGGAAAGAACUGCUAGCAUGGUUCUCUGAGAAGGAAAAGGAGCCAAUCCAGUGGAGAAGUGGAGAGGAAAGAAAACAUGAUUGAAACAAAAAGAUUUUUUUUAAAAUAUGUGAACAAGUGCCAAAGGAGUGAAAUAAACUCUUACAUGCUAUAGGAAUUCAGGGGAGGGGUCAAUCAUGGGGAGCUAUUAUAAUCCAAGAAAGCUUUAUGAAGAAAGGCUUCAUGACCUGGACUUGAAGACUGGGCCUGCUUUAAAUGGACAUCAAAGCUUUUUUUUUGUUUUGGGGUGGGUUUUAAAUUGCUUUUUGUUUUCAUAACACAUGCGGGGAUAAUUUUUCACCAUUGACCUUCGCGAAACUUUGUGUUCCAAUCUUCCCCCUUACUCCCCCCCCCAAUCCCUUCCCCUACAUAGGCAUCAAGUAUUUCUGGAAAUAGGCCCCCCAGGCUUCCUUGCAAGUUGGCCCCAAAUCGAACAGAUUGUGCAUGCUGGAAGGACUAGCUGGGCCUCUGCUGCCUAUCCCCUUUUAUGUAUGAUAUGGGAAUGUCUAUAGUGGGAGAGUUGGGGGGGGGGGAGGAGUUAUUCCAUUCUGACUCACUUCUAGAAUGAGACCAGCUAACAUCAUCCCCUUCAGAGGUCUAGGGGUUUCCCAAAGGGUUUGAAGAUAGUUCUGUCAUUAACUCAAACUUCCACCAGUUGUGCUGGCAAUACCAUUAGGUAUCGGUGAUCAACAAGCUCCCCAGUUCCAUUUAACCACUUAAUUAGGGAUAUCUCCUUCGAUGGUACUAUGGCAAAGAUACAAAUUCCCCCUUCCCUUGAAGGAUGGGGGAAUAGUCUUUAUCCCGCCUCCAUUGCUACAUAGCAUUCGUCCCCCUAAAUUUACAUCAGAUGAGUCUUCCUCUCAGAUACCCCUAAGCUGAAUCAGGGCAUCAGGGCUGAACUGGCUGCAAAAACCAACAAAGUCAGAGCCUUUAGGAAAACAGAGGUCAAGAGCCAAGACCCAUUUCAAAGGAUCACAAAAGGGCCCAAGACUUCUCCCCUUGCUAUAUGGUUUCUCACUAUUAGCAAAAGAUCCCAAGACUUCUACCAGAGAACAAAUGGCCAACCUCCUGCUUACUGGUCCUCCUAGGAGGCUCCUACUGUUCAUCAAAGAGCCUCCUGUUCACCAAGAGACGGGCAGAUUGAAACCAGUUACAGAGUGUCUCUGGACAGGCUCCGUCCCUCCCAGACAUCUCUCUUACUGGAAGCUCCCUAGCUGCCUCCAGGUGGAGGGGCCAUCCUCAGGUGCUUUCCACAUGUGCUAAUCCUCCUACAAGCAUGUAGGCAUUUAUCUAUGAACAUCACUAAACAAUACGAGAGGGCAUUGCUAAAUGGUUAAUGAAAUAUGUAAUCGGUGCUACGGAAAUUCAGAGGAGAGACAAGUCCAGGUGGGCCUCAGGGUUAGGAGUCAGGAAGACCUUAGAGAGGAAAUAGGCUUGAAGCCAGUCCUGGAAGGAAUAUGCUCAGUGCUCAAAACAGAGCAGUUGGCGUCCAAGACCAGAGCAGAAUCACUUUCUAACAGGAGGAUUUUGUGCAACUUGCAGCUGAGCCUCAGUUGAAGGGGCAGCGAUACUGCCGGGACCCUGAGUUGAGAAUUGAACAAAGGACAGCCACCAUACGCAAGGCUUCAGUUAAAGUCAACCAGGAACAUCAAAGAAGAGGAACAAAAGAUGUCAUUAAAGAAACACAGGCUAGGAGGGGAAAAAAUGGUGUCAUCAAAAGCAAGAUGACAGUGAACGGAAGAGAAAAUAGGCGUGAUCGUAUGAAGCACCAGAAAGCGGGAAACAUGACCAGGGCCCAUAUUUGGCUCCGGCCCUGACCAGGUGUGUCUGACUCUCCAUGACCCCAUUUGGGGUUUCUUGGAGAAGACACCAUGACCUUCUGUGGGACAUGCUGUGGUUCAUUUUACAGAUGAGGCAUCUUGCCCAGAGUCACACAAUCAGUAAGUUUCUG